AACCAUCAUACACAAUGUGUAUAUAUGUGUUGUGUUAACGAGAAGUUCUGGAUAAAAUUUUGUUCUGAUACCGCUGCUUCUUGUACUUCUGAGGUCGGAGUUGCAAAAUGAAGACUCGCCUGUUGCUUCCUGAGUCCUUCGUCUUAUGGACGCACAACCCCUUAUCAAUGCAUAUUUCCGUCCCCGCCCAUUCUCAGCUUGGACCAAACUUGUAUAUCUUUGCCAACUGGAGCAAUAAAGUGAGAUAGAUAUGGUAAUCUUCAGUUGUUGUUUUCCGACAACCUGCGGUCCUUGUGGCACAGUUUUCUCAAUGUUAUUCCUUUUUUACUUCUACGUCCACGAUCACAUCGUUUCGUGACUGGAGGAGUGACUGGAGACGUCGUCUGAAAUGACAGAUUUAAUAUGACUAAUAGCGCCAGAUGUCUCUCAAUGGACCUUUGCAAGUGCUGAA
rnacentral:sRNA from 1 species